rnacentral:lncRNA from 1 species
AGGAAAAUGGUAGCAACGGCCGGGUACGCUAGAUAUCUUUAACAAACAAAUUUUCUAGGGUCCUGUGAAACACUUUUUGACAUUAUUAAUUUAAAUUGGCUGAUCAACUCCAUCUUCUUUCUCUCAAGAAUGUCCUAUUUUUAAAUAUUAUUUUAUUAAUUCCUUAAAUGUCCGGUAAUAUGAGUUUUUGACAUUUUCAAAAAAAAAAAAAAAAAAAAAAAAAAUAGGAAGAAUCAAAAUGAAGAGUGUCCUCUUUUUGGGAAAAAAACCCAAAAGAAUUACUUUAUACAGAGUGAUAAACAAGUUUACACCUCAAUAUUGUGGCACCCCUGAGAUUUACUUAUGUUUAUGAAAUUGUGCUCAUCAGAUUUUUCUGACAAAACUGUAUAAUAAAAAGUACAAAAUAUCUGAUAUGUCUUCAAAAUAUGACCGUUAUACGAGCAUUAUUGUGUGCCACCGUGCCGGCUGCACAAAUAACUCGAUACGUAAUUAUGUUAACAGAUGUCAAGCUAAAAUUUUAUAUUGGUACAGUUUGUCUAAAUUGCGUAAUGGGAACCUGAUUUAUUCCGGAAAACCAACAUUUUAAAGACCUUUAUGUUUUGAUUAAAUGGAUAUGGUCUCCUUUUUCACCGAUUCUGAACCCUCUGGGGUGUGGAAACUAGAGAGUCUUCAAUAGAGAGAGAGUUCAAUAAACGUGUACAUAACACGGUUGACACCUUAGGGCCUUCCAUUCUUGAGGCAGUGGGGAAAACGGACCAAGAAUUCCUCAUCAAGGCUUUUGCCAAGUUCAGGGUCCGGUUGGAGGGUGUGAUUGAAGCUGGAGGGGAUUGUUUUGACUGAUUUACUUCACUAGGAAAUAAAUUGAGAUAUACUUUAUCCCAAAAUGUUCCAGAUUUAAAGUUCCCCCCCCCCAUAUAGUGUACAAGUUGGAAUUUGUAGAAACAGAUUAUACUUGUUUCAAUUAAUUAGUCUAAUAACGUCUUACUUAAUGACAUAAAACGAGAAUCAUUUUAAUUAUAACUAGCUAUCAGUUAAUCCAUAAACUUUACCCAAUUAAUUAUAUAAUUACAUUAAUAGCAAUAUAAAUACAGUCCUUUGAAUGCUCAUCAAUUAGUAAUUUUAUUUAUAAAGUAAAAAAAAAAAUACACCCCUGAUAAAUCAAUGACCAUCUAAUGAAAAUUCAGUCAUAUCAUUAUAAAUAUUCUAGAGAAAUCUUCAUUUAAAAUCAACUUGUACAGUUUGCUGUUUGAACUUAUACUCCUAUACAAUGAUCUUAUCCUAUUCAAUCAUUUGAAUUAGAAGUUCCAAUGUGUAGUUUCUAAAGAAAAUAAAAAAAGAUUCGUAGUGUUGUGUCGAUCCUUAUUAAUCCGGUCCUGUCGAGUCUUUGGAUCUGUUUUUAGGACUGUCGGUCUCUGGAAUUUGUAUAAAUAUAUCCCUGGUUUAUGAAGACAAAUAAGAUAUAUGAAAUCAAAGGAUGUUGCUAAAUUUUUCAAUCCCCGCCCCACAGAAAAGUAGUAUUGUCCCUGUAUACAGGACAUGAAGGAAGGAGGUGAAGGAACUUUCCAUUCUCCUACCCAAGGGGGCCUCUUUAUAGGUAUGUGCAAUAAUGAUUCACUCUUUACUCCCAUGAAUCACUCCUUAACAACAAUAAUAGUAAAAGAGCACCAAUUACAACUCAUCAAGCCAUACCUAGAGCAACGAUAACUAAAGCCCGUCCACUCAGACGCUAGAGGUUCAAUACCCUCAGUAGUCGUUCCUCAGAAGAAGACGACAAAGAUUUUUUUUUUUCCAAGAAAACCACACCUUCAAUUUUACUGCCUACCUCUCUUAUGGGCGGGAUCUCAUCUCGGCAUUUCUUGACGACUUAAGCGACAAAAUACUCGCCAAAUUAUAAUCAAUAAUAUUUGAAGUUAAUUAACUCUCCGCACAACGCAACCUCGAAAGUGCGGCAUAUUUAUAUACGUAGUUUAAAGAGGAGGCCAGGCUGUCUAGGAGUCUCUCAUUUUGACGCACAACGUAAUAUAGGUAGUAGGAACCCUCGCUUCAAUAACAAUAAACAAGAAUUAUGUACCUAAAUACCUAACUACAAUCUAUGUAUAUCAUAGACAUAUUGAUAUAAAGGACAUCGUCAUCUUUUGAAAGAAACGGGGAUUUUUUAAAAUAUUAUUAUUAUACAUUAUUUGCCAUUUACAUAUAAUAUAUUAUGUAGAUAGA